GUCCUCCCAGGGUCACAUCUGAAGAGUUUUCAGUACUCUACCAGUCUCGGCUACAGGAGGGAGAGGAAAGCAGAGGCAUACUCAUUCCAUUCCUAGCUUGGCCAGUGGCUAGUGAGCAGAAGGCAAUCUGCUACACGU